CUCUGUCCUCUCAUCCCUUCCCCCCUCUCUCUCCACAUGCUCAUGGCAGGCCUCUACUCCUCUAGUCCCCUACUUCUAUAGUCUGCCUUUGUCUGCCUCUACUACCCUCUUGACUCCCCUCGCCAAGCCCUGAAUAAACUCUAUUCUAUACUAUACCAUCGCAUGGCUGGUCCCUCAGGGGAAAGGGAUAUGGUGGCAUGGGCCCGCCAAUGCACUCCCUUCCCCCACUCCUCACCACAAAUCCAUAAAACCUAUUCCUUCUCUCUUUAUCAUUUUACAAACACAUCACUGCCUCCCUCCUGCUUCAUUGAUUCUGGCAGCCUAAUGAGAUGGGUGAAUUUUAACCCCAAGGGCUAACUAAGUCUUCAGUGUUCCUGAGACUGGCAGCAGCCCUCACAAGCCUUAGAACAUUUCUUCCUUGCUUUUCUGGGAGUGAGCUCUGGGCCUCACUGAGCUUCUCUUCCUCCCUUAGCCUCAUGGAUAACUUCUGAUUCCUCUCAUUUGACGGGAUCAGACCAAUCUAAUCCCAGACUCACUAUAGGGAAGAACCAGCAACCUGCAGUCCCUGCCCAUAGCUCUAUUCCAUAGCCCUGCCUGCCAGGCUAACCCUUGCAGGAGGAAGGAGGCAGGGCCUCCCCUGAGGGAUGAGAUCAUUCUGGACAGCCACCUAGACAACAUGGCUCAGACAGCAACUGGGAGGAAAGGCUGAAGUGGAAAGCAGAGAGCUCAGAAGUUUCUUCUCCUGCCCCCAAAGAGGACAUGCCUAGAAGGUCCUGGGAUGUGCACACUGAUUAAGCAUUACAAUGGUGGCCUCCAUGUGAUGAUGGAGCCCAGCACCAGCCAGAAGACAGCAAGGGCCUAGGGACUGUGUUUGGGACAGAGCUUGGUCUAUAGAUGCACCUCUAUCCUAAGGAGCCAGUGCGCUUAUUUCCCUAGAAUAUUUCUGGAAGGCUUGUUCUCUGCGUUUCAGCUGUGCUGGAGGAAGAAGCCAUGUUUAGCCAGCUCAGAGUGUCCAUGGGGACACCUGUCAGCUCUUGGAAUCCAAAAGAACUGUUCUAAAUACAGCAGGAACCCUAGCAGAAGCUACGGUGUAUGAAACAGGUAGGGUGACUUGGGUGUUCUUAGCACCUUUAAUUCUCUCAAUCAUUCACGAUGUAAGGGCUGUUGCUCUCCUCAUUUUACAGAUGAGGAAACUAAGGAGGAAAGAGUUAACAUAUUGCCCAGUUAUAUGCAAUAACUGUCCCAUCGCCCUCAAGAUCACAUUCUAGGUAAUAAAAUACACAAAUCUUAAAGCUCAGGCUUGGGACUUUACACCGAUGGACAUGCUGGUGUGAGGACCACUCCAAUCAAGAAGUAGGACAUUUCCCAUCACUCCGUUCAGCCUCGCAAUCAGUCCCCCACCAGGAAAAGUUGCCAUUGCUCUGUGUUGUCUGUCCCAAGCCUGGCAUGGGUGGAGCUGCACAGCCGAUCUGUAUCACUUGGCCCAUCCCCUCCCUCCCUCAUGGUGUUGUUAAGACCUGAGCUCAGGGGCUGUGGAAGUGGCUCGGUGGAGAAAGCACUUGCUGAACAGCAUGAAGGUCUGAGUUCUGAUGCCCAGCACUCAUGUUAAAAGUCGGGCAUGGCCUUCUGAACACGUCUAACCCUACCACUGUGAAGAAGAGACACAGUUAGAACGCUGGGGCUUCCUGGCUGCAAGCCUAGCUCCAGGGUCAGUGAGAGACUCAAGGGGGAAAGAUAGAAAAUGAUAGAAUAGGACACUGUUUCCUUUGGCCUCCAUUCAAGGGUACUCACACAUACAGGGGCGCACUCCCCCUUUCCCUGCAUGCACGCGUGCGCACAUGAGCACAUGCACACGCACACAUCUUUGACAUGCAAAGUGACAUUGACGUCUAAUGCUGAUGUUUGUUAAGUCUUCAAUAAGCAGACUGCUAUCCAUAUAACCACAUAGAUUAGGCACAGAGUAAGGGAUUAGUGGGGCAGGUUAGAUCAUCCUAGGGAAAGGAAACAGAAUAGUGAGGAUGGAGGAUGGAAAUGGGGGAGGCCUGGCAUGGGAAGCUCAAGCAGGGAGAAGGGGAGACGAAGGUAAGAGACAGCUAACACUAAGGGCCGCAUGAGGGGUCCUAUGGAAAGCUGACAGAGUAGAAGCAUCUUAAAAGAUACACAUCUGAAAGUGAUCUAAAUGGAAACACCAAAUCAUGGGGAAACAGAGCCCUAACUGGACUUCUCUCAUUACCAAGUCAAGGCUCCAGCUCUCCUGGGCCUCUCUAGUUACCAGUCAAGGCUCCAGUUCUGAGAAUGCAAUUGUUGGCUAAACCGGUUCCAUGGGAACCCCAAAACAACCCAGACGGUUGCCAAGGCUACUGGUUGCUCACCACAAAUUCAUGAUCAGCAUCUCACUCAGCCACUACAGAAGAAGCUUCCUCCUACAUCGGAUGGGAGCUAAUACAGAGACCGGCGUCUGGACAAUGCAGAGAGUGAGACACAGCAGAACACUCAGUUCUAAAUGAGUUGUCUCCACCAAGUCCCUCCCCUCAAGGCCCAGGGAGCCCAACUGAAGAAGAGUGUAAGAGCCCAGAGUGGAUGGAGGACACCAAGGAAUCCAGCCU